UAUAUAUGUUUAUUUUUUAAAUGAACAUUUCUUGCAUUUCUGAAUAGGGAAUGAAUUCCCCAUUUAUAAAUAAAUGGAGAAACAUUUGGCUGACAUGGUCCACAGAUCUAAGGGUAAGCCAAUUAAUACAUUUGAUUCCUCCAGAAAUUGCAUCAAGAAUGGGUAUGUAAAUCAGAGUCCAUGAGAUAUUGGCAAAUAUUAAUGGAAGGUUUGGGGGAAGAGUCAUUUCCUUCUCCUUCAGGAGCUAGCAAAGGAAACUCGGACUGUUUUCCAGAACUUGUGAUGUGAAAAUAUGAGCCCUGGAGCUGCAACUGGAUGUGCAGUAGAGAUGUGCUGGAGCUACCCUUAACUGUGGCUCGUGAAAGUUGUCAUACAACCAACUCUGCACUUAGUGACAUCGUGUUGCUAGCUUGAAACUGACCGUGGUGGGAGUGUUUAUACCCUAGAAAACACAAGUGGUACAAAUGAGAGCUUUUAAAUUUUCUUUUUCUUUUCUUUUUUUGGAGAGCCAGCUUACCGGUAUAUCCCUCCCAUGAGGUAGCAGUUAAGAGUCCAUGGUGUGGAGACUUAGCAUCAGGCCAGUGGAGAGCCAUGAGAAGCUGGGUCUUGAUACUAUAAUUUGAACUACUAGAUCAAACUUUACUAACAGCCUGCCCUACCUCUGGGGUUUUCACUUAGAGAGAAAAAUAUAAGAUUAUUUAAAGAAAAGAAAUAACUAAAAAUAUGAAAGUCUUUGGAAAAUUAAGAUAGAAAAUAAAGCUGUAUUGCUGAAGGAAUAAACCUGAAAGACUGGAAAAUUAUCAGAUGAGGAAAAACUGAGUAUUUCAAAUAAAACCAAGGUUACAACUCAUUAUUGAUUGAUUCAAGAUCAAUAAAACUACUAUGUGUAAUUUCUUGGUUAGUGGAAACCAUAUGGACAAGAUGAGAUAUGAAUUACACUGAAGAUUUUUCCAAAAGAGCAAGGGAACACCUUCCUCUACAGGGUAUAUUUGAAUCAGCAGUCAAAUUGGAUGGAGAAAGAAUGAAGUUAUUUCUCACUAUACCCUAUGAUACGGGACCAGUAAAGGACCAUUCACAGAGAUGAGUAACACUGAAAGAUCAGGUUUAAGCAGGAAGAUUCAAAAGCACUUCAAUACAGUGGUUAAGAAACUCAUCUUUGGACCCAGAAUGCCUGAGUUUAAGUCUCAGGAUGCCUGAGACUUAGCUGUAUGGACUUGGAUAAUUUAUAUCUGUUGUAUCUCCUUUUCCUUAUCCAUAAAAUGGGAAAGAUUAUAAUGAUCACAUUAUCUAUCUUUCCUGGUACAUUAUAUGGUGCAUGGCAAGAGCUUAGUAAGUUACUGUUAUUAAGAUCCAUUUUG